rnacentral:rRNA from 1 species
AGAGACGUGNGCUAACCCGCAAGGGAGGCAGCCGCCACGGUAGGGUCAGCGACUGGGGUG